UUGGGAUUCCUUUACUCAUGAACAGACCAGAGGUUGGGAUUCCUUUACUCAUGAACAGACCAGAGGUUGGGAUUCCUUUACUCAUGAACAGACCAGAGGUUGGGAUUCCUUUACUCAUGAACAGACCAGAGGUUGGGAUUCCUUUACUCAUGAACAGACCAGAGGCAGAGGGAUUCCUUUACUCAUGAACAGACCAGAGGUUGGGAUUCCUUUACUCAUGAACCGACCAGAGGUUGGGAUUCCUUUACUCAUGAACAGACCAGAGGCAGAGGUUGGGAUUCCUUUACUCAUGAACAGACCAGAGGUUGGGAUUCCUUUACUCAUGAACAGACCAGAGGCAGAGGUUGGGAUUCCUUUACUCAUGAACCGACCAGAGGCAGAGGUUGGGAUUCCUUUACUCAUGAACAGACCAGAGGCAGAGGGAUUCCUUUACUCAUGAACAGACCAGAGGUAGAGGGAUUCCUUUACUCAUGAACAGACCAGAGGUUGGGAUUCCUUUACUCAUGAACAGACCAGAGGCAGAGGUUGGGAUUCCUUUACUCAUGAACAGACCAGAGGCAGAGGUUGGGAUUCCUUUACUCAUGAACAGACCAGAGGUUGGGAUUCCUUUACUUGUGAACGUUUACUAAAACAGGUUUUCUUUCAAAAAUAACUUUCCAGUACAAGGUAACGUCCACAGUGUGUACACAUAUCUGCCUCUGUCAGGCCUGCAGCCUGUUUUAACCUGAGACAUUCAGUGCUUUAAUAACAGUGCUAUAAUUAGCCUAGCAUAGUUUAGCGCUAGCCAGUGUUAGUCGACACCCCAUUCAGCAUAGUGACUAAAACUGCUGUAGGGGCUUAGCGGUUAGCAUUAGCCAUUAGCUAGCUGUCAUGCUAAGCUAGUGACAGGGGGUAGAUACUUGACACCCCCUCCACCCCAUCUUGCAUUCUCACACACACAUACAUACAGGACAUAGUGUACACACACACACACACACACACACACUCUUAUACAUACUCACUCACUCACUCACUCACUCACUCACUC